CCUAGACACUUGGGAAGUAUUCGACUUGUGAUUUUGUGAUAUGAAAUCCAGCAUAUCUAUCUUGUUUGCUGUGUCAUACAAUAAUAAUAAUAAUAAUAAUAAUAAUACAUCACACAGUCCUAGACACUUGGGAAGUGUUCUACUUGUGAUUUUGUGAUAUGAAAUCCAGCAUAUCUAUCUUGUUUGCUGUGUCAUACAAUAAUAAUAAUAAUAAUAAUAAUAAUAAUAAUAAUACAUCACACAGUCCUAGACACUUGGGAAGUGUUCGACUUGUGAUUUUGUGAUACGAAAUCCAGCAUGUCUGUCUUGUUUGCUGUGUCAUACAAUAUUAUUAUUAAUAAUAAUAAUAAUAAUAAUAAUAAUAAUACAUCACACAGUCCUAGACACUUGGGAAGUGUUCAACUUGUGAUUUUGUGAUCCGAAAUCCAGCAUAUCUAUCUUGUUUGCUGUGUCAUACAAUAAUAAUAAUAAUAAUAAUAAUAAUAAUAAUACAUCACACAGUCCUAGACACUUGGGAAGUGUUCGACUUGUGAUUUUGUGAUACGAAAUCCAGCAUAUCUAUCUUGUUUGCUGUGUCAUACAAUAAUAAUAAUAAUAAUAAUAAUCUUUUUGCUUCUGUUGAUUUCUCUUCAGGUCCAGUACAACCUGCUGACCCCUCCCAUUGUUUGGGCCGGCGGAUCCCAAGACGGCGGGCGGCGGACGGCUUCUCCCCUUUACCACGGAUUCAAGGAAGUGGAGGAAAACUGGGCCAAGCACUGCUCCUCAGACGCAGCUCCUCAGCCCAGAUUCUACUGCAUUUUGUCGCCCGAAGCAUCAGAAGACGACCUCAACCGCCUAGAUAGCACGGUCUGCGAGGUCUUGUUCUCCAAAUCGGCCAAAUACGAUGACCUCUAUUCGGCGCUCACGUCCUUGCUGGCUGCCGGCUCCCAGUUCGACACGCUCCGCAGGAAGGAGAGCAAGAACGUCACGGCCUUGGAGGCCUGUGCCCUUCAGUACUACUUCCUGAUCUUGUGGAGGAUCCUGGGCCUCUUGCCGCCCUCCAAGAGGUACAUCAACCAGCUGGCCAUGAACAGCCCCGAGAUGAGCGAGUGCGACAUCCUCCACACCUUGCGCUGGUCCUCCCGCCUACACAUCCCCUCCUACGUCACCUGGAUCAAGGAGCACCUGGUCAAGCAGGGCAUGAAGCCGGAGCACGCCGCCUCCCUGGUGGAGCUGACUUCCGCCAAGUGCAGCUCCGUCAAGUAUGACGUGGAGAUCGCCGAGGAGUACUUUGCCCGACAGGUGAGUGUGGGCGGAGGCCUCACCUCAAAGCUGCGGGGUUGGGCUUCCGAUCCCUGGAGGGCCAGGUCAGCUUGGGCAACGGUCAGGUCUUUCCAGAACCAAAGCCGAAAAAACACCUGGAGGACCCAGUUUGGGAACCAUUGAAUUAUAAGCAAUUUAUUGCAUGUUUCAAUGAUAAAUUUCCAGUGAAUUUCCAGUUGAAUAGUUAGAAGCUGGAAGGUCAGGGUGGACCCUGUCUUGGUGGCUGAGGAUCCUUUGGUUGAUAAUAAUGAUGAUGCUGAAGAUGCUAAUAAAAAUACCAUUGGGUUGCUAAUAAUAAGUGUGGACCUGUCUUGGUGGUUAAUGAUUCAUUGGCGGCGGCUGCUGCUGAUAUAAUAAUAAUAAUAAUAAUAAUAAUAAUAAUAAUAAUAAUAAUAAUAAUAAUAUUUUGUUGAAGGCUUUCAUGGCCGCAAUCAUUGCGUUGCUGUGAGUUUUCCGGGUUGUAUGUUCCAAAAGCAUAAGGGUGGACCUGUUUUGGUGACUGAGGAUCCUUUGGUUGCUGAUAGAAGUAGUAGUAAUAAUAAUAAUAAUCAUCAUCAUCAUAAU
rnacentral:lncRNA from 11 species